UACGGGGGGGGCAAGCGUUGUUCGGAAUUACUGGGCGUAAAGGGCUUGUAGGUGGCCAACUAAGUCAGACGUGAAAUCCCUCGGCUUAACCGGGGAACUGCGUCUGAUACUGGAUGGCUGGAGUGUGGGAGAGGGAUGCGGAAUUCCAGGUGUAGCGGUGGAAUGCGCAGAUAUCAGGAAGAACACCGGUGGCGAAGGCGGAUCUCUGGGCCUUACCUGACGCUGAGGCGCGAAAGCUAGGGGAGCGAACAGG
rnacentral:rRNA from 1 species